AAUGAACGUUGGCGGCGUGGAUUAGGCAUGCAAGUCGUGCGAGAAGUUCUUUUUGCUUGCAUUGAGAACGGACAGCGGCGAAAGGGAGAGUAACGCGUGGUUACGUGCCCAGGGGUCCAGGAUAGCGUUGGGAAACUGGCGGUAAUACUGGAUGAUAUCUUUGGAUCAAAGGUGAGAUUCCGCCCUUGGAUUGGACCGCGUACUAUUAGCUAGUUGGUGGGGUAAUGGCCUACCAAGGCAUCGAUGGUUACCGGGUGUGAGAGCAUGGCCCGGCUCACUGGGACUGAGACACUGCCCAGACACCUACGGGUGGCUGCAGUCGAGAAUCUUCGGCAAUGGACGCAAGUCUGACCGAGCGACGCCGCGUGCGGGAUGAAGGCCCUCGGGUUGUAAACCGCUGUCAGUUGGGAGGAAAGAGGUGUGAAGAGCAUCUCUUGACCGAUCUUCAGAGGAAGGGCGGGCUAAGUUCG
rnacentral:rRNA from 1 species